rnacentral:rRNA from 1 species
GAAUAUUGGACAAUGGGCGAAAGCCUGAUCCAGCCAUGCCGCGUGGAUGAUGAAGGCCCUAGGGUUGUAAAGUCCUUUCGACGGGGAAGAUAAUGACGGUACCCGUAGAAGAAGCCCCGGCUAACUUCGUGCCAGCAGCCGCGGUAAUACGAAGGGGGCUAGCGUUGCUCGGAAUCACUGGGCGUAAAGCGCACGUAGGCGGCUUGUUAAGUCGGGGGUUAAAUCCUGGCGCUCACCUCCAGAACUGCCCUCGAUACUGAUGAGCUCGAGUCCGGGAGAGGUGAGUGGAACUGCGAGUGUAGAGGUGAAAUUCGUAGAUAUUCGCAAGAACACCAGUGGCGAAGGCGGCUCACUGGCCCGGUACUGACGCUGAGGUGCGAAAGCGUGGGGAGCAAACAG